rnacentral:rRNA from 1 species
AACGAACGCUGGCGGCAGGCUUAACACAUGCAAGUCGAGCGCCCCGCAAGGGGAGCGGCAGACGGGUGAGUAACGCGUGGGAAUCUACCCAUCUCUACGGAAUAACGCAUGGAAACGUGUGCUAAUACCGUAUACGUCCUUUGGGAGAAAGAUUUAUCGGAGAUGGAUGAGCCCGCGUUGGAUUAGCUAGUUGGUGGGGUAAAGGCCUACCAAGGCGACGAUCCAUAGCUGGUCUGAGAGGAUGAUCAGCCACACUGGGACUGAGACACGGCCCAGACUCCUACGGGAGGCAGCAGUGGGGAAUAUUGGACAAUGGGCGCAAGCCUGAGCCAGCCAUGCCGCGUGAGUGAUGAAGGCCCUAGGGUUGUAAAGCUCUUUCACCGGUGAAGAUAAUGACGGUAACCGGAGAAGAAGCCCCGGCUAACUUCGUGCCAGCAGCCGCCGUAAGAC